CGAGGAGAGAAGCUGCGGGGGCCGCUAGGCUGGGCGGGAAGAGCAGGUGUUCAUGUUGCAGUUUACAAGCCAGGCUUGCCUGGGUGGAAAGGAAAUGCUUUGCUUUUUAAAGUUCGCUUCCAGUUCCACGACUCUCCUCGGACACCUCCCCUGGGCAACAGAUGGCUUUUGAAGGUACUUGUGAAGUUGACCAAGUGACAAGCUAGAAGGAGCCUGGAUCCUUGACUCACCACAUCAAAGGCCACCCACCAAACACCCUCAGUAGACAACAG